AUCCACCCUGUUUCCUUUUCCUCGAUUUGGAUGUGGUCUGGUGGGAUAUCGGGUACUCGUCCGAAGGUCGUUUAAAUAUUAGUUAUAUAUCAUGUAUACAUAUAUGGUCAUAAAUGUUCCACCAGUUAAUUUAGUUUCGAUACUCCUGGGUAGCAAAGGUGUAUAAACCUACUUGNUCCUUUUCCUCGAUUUGGAUGUGGUCUGGUGGGAUAUCGGGUACUCGUCCGAAGGUCGUUUAAAUAUUAGUUAUAUAACAUGUGUACAUAUAUAGUCAUAAAGGCCCUUCCAGUUCAUCCCAUGCCCUUGGGUAGCAAGGGUAUACAUCCAUGUCCAUACGUACCAGUUAGAUUACUAGUAAACUACCAUAUGGGUAGUUUUGGAAGAUACUAGAACUAUUACUAGAAUGCGAUAUCAUAGAAUGAGUCAGUUCAUUCAUGAGUUAAUACUUGCUAGAUAGAGAGAACAUACAUUACUAUGAGAACAUAUACAACUAUACUAGAGGAAGAACAUAUACAACUAUACUAGGAGAAGAACAUAUACAACUAUACUAGAGGAAGAACAUAUACAACUAUACUAGAGGAAGAACAUAUAGAACUAUACUAGAAAGAGAACAUAUACUAUGAUACUAGAACGAGUAACAAUACAUUACAUAUACAUAUAUAUACAUUGAC
rnacentral:lncRNA from 1 species